GGGGAAUAUUGCACAAUGGGCGCAAGCCUGAUGCAGCGACGCCGCGUGAGGGAUGACGGCCAUCGGGUUGUAAACCUCUUUCACCAGGGACGAAGCGUGAGUGACGGUACCUGGAGAAGAAGCACCGGCCAACUACGUGCCAGCAGCCGCGGUAAUACGUAGGGUGCGAGCGUUGUCCGGAAUUACUGGGCGUAAAGAGCUCGUAGGCGGUUUGUCGCGUCGUCUGUGAAAUUCUGCAACUCAAUUGUAGGCGUGCAGGCGAUACGGGCAGACUUGAGUACUACAGGGGAGACUGGAAUUCCUGGUGUAGCGGUGAAAUGCGCAGAUAUCAGAAGGAACACCGGUGGCGAAGGCGGGUCUCUGGGUAGUAACUGACGCUGAGGAGCGAAAGCGUGGGGAGCGAAC
rnacentral:rRNA from 1 species